CUCGUAGGCGGUUCGUCGCGUCCGGUGUGAAAGUCCAUCGCUUAACGGUGGAUCCGCGCCGGGUACGGGCGGGCUUGAGUGCGGUAGGGGAGACUGGAAUUCCUGGUGUAGCGGUGGAAUGCGCAGAUAUCAGGAGGAACACCGAUGGCGAAGGCAGGUCGCUGGGCCAUUACUGACGCUGAGGAGCGAAAGCAUGGGGAGCGAACA
rnacentral:rRNA from 1 species